rnacentral:misc_RNA from 1 species
UUAAUUAAAAAAAAUAUCGAAAAUAAAAUGAGAGGAUCUUAACAUCAAAAAUAAAAUCACGAUAUAAUAAUAAUAAUUUAAGGGGAAUCAUUCAUAAUGACACAUAUAAUAAUCUAAUAAAAAAUACUGGAUUCAAUUGGCCGUGAACAGCCGUGGUGAAGACUGAAGAGAGCGCCCACAUUGUGCGUUGGCGCUCAUAUUAGUUCAGAGGGUUGAAUUGCCAGUACACGCAGAUUAGGCUCUCAUCUCCUGUUUUUACCUCAGGCUUGGCUUCUCGAAAUUAGUUCCUCCGUCUCUCUACCGUAUAAUCAAGACGCCUUGAAAAGCAUGGGAGGAAACGAAGUAUAUUAACAAAUGCAGAAGACCCACUCACUAUUAUUGAACUCCAAGAGACCUCUCUACCUGUGGAACCUCAAGGUUCUCAACUCGACCAAUGAUGGCCUCUUCUCUGAUACACUCUACCUCUAUUCUUCCAUGUUACGGAGUGGCGUUCAUGGCAAUCACUUCACGUUUCCUAUGGUCCUAAAAGCCUGCUCUAAUAUCAACUCCGUACUCCACGGUACUAUGAUUCAUUCCCAUGUACACCAACUGGGGUUUCAACAACAUGUAUUUGUGCAGACAGCUCUUCUAGAUAUGUAUUCCAAAUGCUAUGAACUCGAGUCUUCAAGGAAAGUGUUCGAUAAAAUGCCUGUGAGAACUGUUGUUUCUUGGAACUCCAUCAUCUCUGCUUAUUGUCGUUGUUCUUUGGUUGAUGAGGCCACUUUUCUGUUACACGAAAUGCGUGUUCUUGGUUUCAAACCGAGCUCCACUACGUUUCUUAAUUUUCUGCCUACUUGCGUUCUUCAACAAGGCUUAUCAAUCAAAUGCUGCGCAUAUAAAUUUGGACUUCUAAAUAUUCGUGAAAUUCCUUUAACUAAUGCCGUCAUGAAGAUGUAUGUUAAAUAUGGUAAGGUUCAUGAAGCUCGCUCAAUUUUUGAUAUGAUGCAUGAGAAGUCGGUCAUUUCUUGGACAACAGUUAUCGAUGGUUAUGUGGGUAUUGGUAAUGUUACUGAAGCAUUCAGCUUGUUUAAUCAAAUGAGAACAAGCAUUAGACCAGACUUUAUAGUCUUCAUGAGCCUUAUUUCAGGUUGUGCGCAAGAGGGGAAUUUGUUGGUUGCUUCAACAAUUCAUUCUCCCAUAGUUAAAUGUGGAUUUGAUAAUGAAGAUCCGAUUGACAACUUGCUUGUGAGAAUGUAUGCAAACUGUGAAGACCUUGUCUCAGCUCGAAGAGUAUUUGAUAUGGCACGUGAAAAAAGUGUCUUCUUGUGGACUUCUAUGAUUAGAGGGUAUACUCACUUGGGUUAUCCUCUUGAAGCUUUGGAACUUUUCAAGACAUUGUUAGGUACAGCUAUUAAGCCAGAUGAAGCAACCGUGACAACUGUCCUUUCAGCUUGUGCUGAUUUGGGGUCACUCAAUGUGGGCGAAGAGAUUGAAGGGUACAUUUUGGCUAACGGUUUGCACUCAAAUCUACAAGUCCAGACCUCUUUUAUGCACAUGCUCUGUAAAUGUGGGAAUUUAGAGAAGGCAAAGGCAGUAUUUGAGAGAUUAUCAACAAAAGAUUUAGCUGCUUGGAGUUCCAUGAUAAAUGGUUAUGCCAUCCAUGGUAUGGGAGAGGAAGCUCUCAGUCUCUUUCACAAGAUGCAAAAAACGGAAAUGAUAAAGCCAGAUGCUGCUAUCUACACAAGCAUAUUACUGGCUUGCAGCCAUUCAGGAUUGAUUGAAGAUGGAUUGAAAUUUUUUCAAAGCAUGCAAAUGGAUUUUGGAAUUGAACCCAGUAUAGAACAUUAUACCUGCUUGGUAGAUCUUCUUGGCAGAGCUGGUAAGCUUGAAUUGGCAUUGAAAACAAUCAAAGAGUUGCCUGUCAAAGUACAAGCUAAGGCAUGGGCUCCAUUUCUCAGCGCAUGCAGAAAACAUAGCAAGCUUGAGCUGGGGGAGUUUGCUGCUAGAAAGCUGUUUGAUUUGAAUCCUGGAAGCGUCGGCAAUUAUGUUGUAAUGGCCAAUUUAUAUGCACAUGCAGGUAAGUGGAAGGAGGCUGCGGUGACAAGACGGUUGUUGGAUGACAAAGGAUUGGUUAAAGAAUCAGGUUGGAGCUAUAUAGAGAUCAAUGGUUCUGUCCAUGUUUUUGUUGCUGGAGAUCGAUCACACUAUCAGUUGGGUGAUAUCUAUAACAAAUUAGAGGAACUAAAUGCUAAACUUUUAGAAGCUGGGUAUAUUCCAGAAGCAGAUAACGUGGUUCAUGACUUGGAAAAGGAAGAGAAGGAGGAAUCAUUGAAAGUUCAUAGCGAGAGACUGGCUAUAGCAUUUGGUCUCAUCAGUACUGAGGCAGGUACAACUCUGAGGAUUAUAAAAAACCUACGAACUUGUGAUGAUUGUCAUUCUGCUUUGAAAUGCAUCUCAAAAAUUACAGGAAGGCAUCUUAUUGUGAGAGAUGGUCAACGCUUCCACCAUUUUAAAUCUGGUUCCUGUUCAUGCAAGGAUUUCUGGUGAUUUUACUCCCUUGUACUGCUAAUUAUUCGCUUCUGGCCAAUAUGAUCUCAAAAUCAAUCAAGUACUUCAACUAUGAAGAGAUGUCAAGCUUUUGUUGGAAUUUGAUUUGGCUGGGAAGGAUUACUCUACUGCUCGUCAAGCAUAAACUAUUUUGGGUAUUGUUCAGGUAAAUAUAUCUCUAACUACAACUUUAGGCAAACAUUUAUAGAUAUAAACCCUCAAAUACCUGAUGAAAUAUCCUGACGGAUGGGUGAUAGAAUGGUAAGAAGAAUAUUUGACAAUCUGAUGCUCAGAUAUCUGAUUCUAUAGCGUUUGACCUUUUGCAUAAAGCUAAUGAUUCAUGUAAUGAACAUUUGGCUAUACUUGUUCCCCUGCCUUUUCAGGUCUUGAUGCUACGCAUCCUAGUUUCCUGCAAGUAGGCAGUAGCCACCAAGCUAAUAUGGAGCAAUAUAGCCAGUGUAUAUCUAGUUUAACAGGUGGAUGCCUACUGACAUUGAAUCAAUGUAAAAUAACAAUGGGCAGUUCAGUUGUUGAGAGUUUUCUAUGGAAUGACAUAGAAUAUGUCAAAGCAACAGGUAAGGUCAAACCAUUCAUUUAGGGAGCCGGCAUUAAAACGUGUUAUGACUUAUGAGGUUUUUGGACGCAACGCAAACCAGCCCAACACAUGCUAAAAGAUUGAUUCUUUGCAAGGAGGGAGUGGAAGUUCAGGUUCGGUUCAGUUACAUCUCAAAUGUGAUUAUCCUAAAUUGGUUUAUGGAGAAAUUUAUAAUUACAGAGGUUGCAUAUUUUUGUGGUCAAGAAGCGACACUAUCAAAUAAAAGGGUAAAGGCUUGAACUAAGGAUGCUGUUAAAAGGUUCUGGAUUACAUGCAUGAUUACUAGCUCACCAGAACUUCACAGUGGGAUCUUCAUAAUUUAGCAGUGAUGAGGCUAUUUGUUGAUGACAAGAAAAUUGGUCAAGAGAUGAUGGCACAGGAACCUCGUAGAAGGUCAAUGUAGUGCUAAUAAUGGAAGCUCUGCAUACAUAUGCGUUGUAGGGUUUUUGCAACAGAGGUCGGACUCGAGCUGCAGAUUGCCUCUGUGCAUGCCACGUUUGAAAUAUUCAAAUAUUCAAGUGAUACUCAGGCAGUUGAUUGCUUACUGCCGUUGCUAAAUUCCAUUAUGUAGAGCGCUAGGAUACAUUUUUCAAUAAGAGGGUAUAUUUCUUGCACCACUUGUACUCAAUAUGGUGAAUAUAUGCAAUUCAAAGGGAGAGAGAGAUUUAAAGAUGCAAGCUGAAAUUUGUAGGGUUUCUGUACAUUAUAUCUUGGUUCUGCUCGAGCACUUUAGCAAGUUAAAUUGGUUAAUAAAUUGAAAAAUCCAUUUUAG